rnacentral:rRNA from 1 species
UUAAAUUGAAGAGUUUGAUCAUGGCUCAGAUUGAACGCUGGCGGCAGGCCUAACACAUGCAAGUCGAACGGUAACAGGAAGCAGCUUGCUGUUUCG